AUUGAACGCUGGCGGCAGGCCUAACACAUGCAAGUCGAACGAGUGGCGGACGGGUGAGUAAUGUCUGGGAAAAUGCCUGAUGGAGGGGGAUAACUACUGGAAACUGUAGCUACUACCGCAUACCAUCAGAUGUGCCCAGGUGGGAUUAGCUUGUUGGUGGGGUAACGGCCUACCAAGGCGACGAUCCCUAACUGGUCUGAGAGGAUGACCAGCCACACUGGAACGGAGACACGGUCCAGACUCCUACGGGAGGCAGCAGUGGGGAAUAUUGCACAAUGGGCGAAAGCCUGAUGCAGCCAUGCCGCGUGUAUGAAGAAGGCCUUCGGGUUGUAAAGUACUUUAAGCGGGGAGGCGUUACCCGCAGAAGAAGCACCGGCUAACUCCGUGCCAGCAGCCGCGGUAAUUC
rnacentral:rRNA from 1 species